UUUGACCUUUAGCAUUGAUCAUGAAUGUUAUUGGAACGAUACAGAGAAGAUUAGCAUGGCCCCUGCGCAAGGAUGACGCAAAUUCAUGAAGCGUUCCAUAUUUUU